GGAGUGAGAAUGGGUUGCUCAUCUGGACUCUCAUGUAUUCAGGAGCUCUGUCAGUGUGGCAGAAGCCAUUACUGAGCUGCGUGGAAUAGGAAGUGCAUCUUUGCUGAAGGUGAAGGAUUUCUGCAGAAUUUCACCCCAUCCAAAUGAAGCGGGACAGAAUGGAGUGAAGAGGAGCAGAAGCUGAUUCAAGAGAGAGUGCUUGUGUUACUGUGUGAGGCUCAGAGCUGAAAAACAGCAAAGCUGCACUCCUGUCCUUAUGGGACUGUGACAAUCAUCUCCUCUGAGGACUUGGAUGAUGAAAUGUCUGGCCUAGAUCUACAAAACACCCAGAUGUGCCAUUCCAGGCUGGGACAAAAAGGUUAUGAAUGAAACAUGAUAAGAGCUAAAAGAACAACUGUCUGGAACAAACUCUUUCAAAGAAUCAGACUUGGAAACUGUUGGAUGAAGGAUUUUAAUCUCACCUGAAGACAAGAAGACUGCACUGCUCCAUUCAGCCAAGCUAAUAAAUGUUUUUUUGAUAUUUAUCAUCAAACCCACAACCAGGAAAUUCAUCACGUCUUGCUCAGACUUCAGUCGCACACACACCCCCACCACGUCAAAACCCUCUACCUGAUUCUGUCCUUUACUGUGAGGUCACUGACUCCUGUCACUUCCUCUUCUUCUUCUCGUUGAAACCUCUGAUAUGCUCUUAAUCGACUCCAGUCCAGUAGAGAGAGUAAUACGACAAGGCCAGCAGACACAAAGGUCUGCAAAAUUGACAAACGCAGACAGGAUGACCGCCUGCGGUGAAAAAAAAGUAAAGGGGUUACAGAUGUAUUUGAACAAGGACUUGUGAGGGUCAGUGGCGUUGAACUCUUUAGCUAAUGGUGGAUGGUGUCCAACAUCAGUCACAAGUUUUAAAGUUUUAAAAUGGGAUGUUUCCAUUCCUGACUGGUCAAUACAGAUUUUCUGCUGUGCUAAAAUAGAGUUAGAAAAACUAUUAACCUUAGUUUAGA